UUUCAUUUGUUUCAGAGACACAUCAGUUAUUCUGAUAGAGGCUCAGUGUCAUUUGUUAAUAAGGCUACCCAGUGGAGGAAGGUGAAGCAAACAGUGCCAGUGUUCAGCAGGAAAAAAAGUUACUAUGUGAGAUAUUUAGCAUCAGUGAUGGUCAAGAUGUGAUGUAGACGUAAGGAAGAGGUUCCACGUGUUUAUUAAGGAAGCUGCCAAACUGUACCCACUUCCGUCGUCCUGAGAAUCUCCACACAACACCAGCUCAGAGGAUUCCCAACAAUACCAAUUAUCAGAUACCGACAAGAAUGGACAGUCACCUUGCUAUGUCCAACAGCCCUCCAGAUACACCUGAGGCACACAGCGUCACCCCAGUACAGCCCCAAGUUGGUCUGGCUAGCCCCAAUGACGAUGAAAGCAGGAAACAUCAUUAUCACCUGCUGUGGUUGAUGAUGGUGGCUUCUACACACACACACACACACACACACACACACACACACACACAUACAUACACACUGAACAUUACCUAUUCACUUGAGCACUUACUUGGUCAUCGUCUGAGUUUUGUAGAUCGUGAUUGACAGAGACAGAGAGAGAGAGAGAGAGAGAGAGAGAGAGAGAGAGAGAGAGAGAGAGAGAGAGAGAGAGAGAGAGAGAGAGAGAGAGAGAGAGAGAGAGAGAGAGAGAGAGAGAGAGAGAGAGAGAGAGA